rnacentral:piRNA from 1 species
GAACGUCGGCAACUGGUGCAUGUAGU